UACGUAGGGGGCGAGCGUUGUCCGGAGUUACUGGGCGUAAAGCGCACGCAGGCGGUCUGCUAAGUUUGGAGUGACAGUUGGUGGCUCAACCACCAAAGUGCUUCGAAAACUGACAGACUAGAGUACUUCAGGGGAGACUGGAAUUCCUGGUGUAGCGGUGAAAUGCGCAGAUAUCAGGAGGAACACCGGUGGCGAAGGCGGGUCUCUGGGAAGUAACUGACGCUGAGAAGCGAAAGCAUGGGUAGCAAACAGG
rnacentral:rRNA from 1 species